rnacentral:rRNA from 1 species
UACGUAGGGCGCAAGCGUUGUCCGGAAUUAUUGGGCGUAAAGAGCUCGUAGGCGGUCUGUCGCGUCGGCUGUGAAAACCCGAGGCUCAACCUCGGGCCUGCAGUCGAUACGGGCAGACUAGAGUGCUGUAGGGGAGACUGGAAUUCCUGGUGUAGCGGUGAAAUGCGCAGAUAUCAGGAGGAACACCGGUGGCGAAGGCGGGUCUCUGGGCCAUUACUGACGCUGAGGAGCGAAAGCGUGGGGAGCGAACAGG